AACGCGAAGAACCUUACCUGGGCUCGAAGCGCAGUAGACCGGGGUGGAAACACCCCUUCCCUUAAAAGCUGCUGCGGAGGUGCUGCAUGGCUGUCGUCAGCUCGUGCCGUGAGGUGUUGGGUUAAGUCCCGCAACGAGCGCAACCCUUACUCUUAGUUGCCACCCGCAAGGGGGAACUCUAAGAGGACUGCUCCGGAUAACGGAGAGGAAGGUGGGGAUGACGUCAAGUCAGCACGGCCUUUAUGUCCAGGGCUACACACGUGUUACAAUGCACAGUACAAACCGUCGCGAACCCGCGAGGGGGAGCUAAUCGGAGAAAACCGUGCUCAGUUCGGAUUGCAGUCUGCAACUCGACUGCAUGAAGCCGGAAUCGCUAGUAAUGGCGUAUCAGAACGACGCCGUGAAUACGUUCCCGGGCCUUGUACACACCGCACGA
rnacentral:rRNA from 1 species